rnacentral:rRNA from 1 species
UACAGAGGUCCCGAGCGUUGUUCGGAUUCACUGGGCGUAAAGCGUGCGCAGGCGGUUAUGUAAGACAGUUGUGAAAUCCCCGGGCUCAACCUGGGAACUGCAUCUGUGACUGCAUAGCUAGAGUACGGUAGAGGGGGAUGGAAUUCCGCGUGUAGCAGUGAAAUGCGUAGAUAUGCGGAGGAACACCGAUGGCGAAGGCAAUCCCCUGGACCUGUACUGACGCUCAUGCACGAAAGCGUGGGGAGCAAACAGG